rnacentral:rRNA from 1 species
AUUGAACGCUGGCGGCAGGCCUAACACAUGCAAGUCGAGCGGAUGAAGGGAGCUUGCUCCUGGAUUCAGCGGCGGACGGGUGAGUAAUGCCUAGGAAUCUGCCUGGUAGUGGGGGAUAACGUCCGGAAACGGGCGCUAAUACCGCAUACGUCCUGAGGGAGAAAGUGGGGGAUCUUCGGACCUCACGCUAUCAGAUGAGCCUAGGUCGGAUUAGCUAGUUGGUGGGGUAAAGGCCUACCAAGGCGACGAUCCGUAACUGGUCUGAGAGGAUGAUCGGUCACACUGGAACUGAGACACGGUCCAGACUCCUACGGGAGGCAGCAGUGGGGAAUAUUGGACAAAGGGCGAAAGCCUGAUCCAGCCAUGCCGCGUGUGUGAAGAAGGUCUUCGGAUUGUAUAGCACUUUAAGUUGGGAGGAAGGGCAGUAAGUUAAUACCUUGCUGUUUUGACGUUACCAACAGAAUAAGCACCGGCUAACUUCGUG